rnacentral:tRNA from 3 species
GGGCCUCUAGCUCAAUGGGCAGAGCAGCGGACUUUUAAUCCGCGGGUUGUGGGUUCGAGUCCCACGGGGCCCA